CGGAGAUCGACGCUGCUGAUUGGUGCAAAUUUGUUGAAAGUAGACUAACUCCUGAAUUUCUGGAAUUGAGUAAGGUGCAACGUGAACGUUCCUCAAAAAUUCAAUCCAGACAUCGAAGUGGUCGGAGUGGGAUGGUGAACGUACGGGAAGCUGUG